AUAUUUCAUUAAUGUUUUAUUUUUUAGAGAAUCACUUUAAGCAAUUAAAUAACCAUUUAUCUAAAACACUGGAUAAUUUAUUUCAAAUAUAUUCCAAAUACUUAAACACUGCAUAAAUAUUAAGGUUUAACACACAUCUUUUAAUAAAUUAACCAAAUAUAACUAACAGUUCAGAUAUACUCAAAACACACCACACAAAACUAUCAAGGCUAAUGCUAGAUAUUCCAAAAGUGGUAACAGAAAUGAUUGUGUGCUGUGUAUCUCUAAUUCAAACUUGGACAUGGGCACAAUAAUUUCAUAAAGAUCUCAACAAUGACAGCUUUCAACAUUGAGUAUUUUUUCCAAUUUUACACUAAUUCUUGCAAAGGCAACAUCUGGGGACAACAAUAGAUAUAGACUCACCAAUAUAAUUUGACAGUGGUAAUUUAUCAAUUUACCAAAUAUGCCACUUCCUUUUUUUUUUUGAGACAGAGUUUCGCUCUUGCACCCAGGCUGGAGUGCGAUGGUGCGAUCUCGGCUCACCGCAACCCCUGCCUCCCGGGUUGCAGUGAGCAGCUUGGGCAACAGAGCCAGACUCCAUCUCAAAAAAAUAAUAAAAUAAAAUAAAGUAAAAAGAACAUGGUCUGCAGUAGGUGUUUUUGUUUUGUUUUUGUUUGUUUGUUUUUGAAACGGAGUCUCGCUCUGUCGCCCAGGCUGAAGUGUAGUGGCGCAAUCUCAACUCACUGCAAGCUCCGCCUCCCGGGCUCAAGCAAUUCUCCUGCCUCAGCCUCCCUAGUAGCUGGGAUUACAGUCGUGUGCCACCCUAUGCCUGGCUAAUUUUUGUAUUUUUAGUAGAGACGGCGUUUCACCAUGUUGGCCAGGCUGGUCUCAAACUCCUGACCUCAAGUGAUCCACCCACCUCGGCCUCCCAAAGGGUUGGGAUUACAGGCGUGAGCCACCAUGCCCAGCCUGCAAUAGGUAUUCAAAAUCCUCCCUAAGAGAAAAUAAUUGUGCCUCGCUAUCUACCAAAGACAUUGGUUAAAAAAAAGUCUCAGCAGUUACAAUGUACAGUAUCACCUUCCCUUCUGUAACCAAAAUACUUAUUAAAUAUAUGAAUGCUAGUUAUCAGAUUAUUUUAAAAGUUUAUUUUCUUUCUCUAAUAAUAAGGUAAAAUACAUUUUGGAAAUCUGCAUGGAAUGUUCCCAACAAGUUAUUUCAUUUUAGCAGGGUCUAUGACAUACAGCUUUAGUCAUUCUUUCAAUUACUUGGAACCACAGAAUUCUCCAAAAUACAAAAAUUAAAUUUUCAGCUUUUAUAUCAAAUAAUGGUCUCAACCAUUUAAUACAAAGCAACAUACUUUCUCAGGUUUCUGUUAAUAAGGCAAAAUAAAAGUCACUCAGAAAAAAAAGGUUAAAUCAUGAAGAUUUCUCUUUUGUAGGAUAUAAUUCACCCCUGUGGUUUCUCUUCUACCAUUAAUGUCUUAUCUACUCUAAUUCCUUCAAAGUUUCAAGUUCAAUACAGUAUAACAUAUGCAGAGAUUUUAUAGUUUUUAUCAUAGAUUUUUUUUUUCAACAUUGUUUUCAGGAUGUUUUAAACACUUUCACAACUAUUACCUCAGAUUUGUGAUUAUGGCUUAUAGUACGGUCUACUUUCAAAACCAUGAUUUUUGGAUCAUGGCCCAUCCAAGAUUUUACUCUGUUCAGAAAAAGAAAAAAAAUUACAUAUCCAGAGUUUCACAAGCAAUUCAGGGGUUUUUCCCACAGACAUCAAAAACCUUGCAAUAAAGGGGUGAAAUCCAAAAAUUACUUUCGAUUUCAAAGGUUUAAUAUUUUUAAAAAAUUGAGAAAUCUAUUUAAGGUGUUGAAUAAACUUUUUAUGACUUAUCAGGCAAAAUUAAAAUAUUUAUCAUGGGCAGGGCACGGUGGCUUACACCUGUAAUCCCAGCAUUUUGAGAGGUCAAGGCUGGACGACUGCUUGAAGCUAUGAGAUUGGGACUAGCCUGGAAAAUAUAGCGGACCCCACCUCUAUAAAAAAUUAUUAUUUUUUAUUAGCUGGGCAUAGUGCUGUGUGCCUGUAGUCCUAGCUACCAGAGAGGCUGAGGUGGAAAGAUCCUUUUUUGUUGUUGAGACAGGGUCUCACUCUGUCACCCAGACAGGAAUGUAGUACCACAAUCACUGCUUACUGAAGCCUUGACCUCCUGGGUUCAAGUAACCCUCCCGCCUAAGCUUCCCAAGUAGCUGGGACUACUGGUGUGUACCACCAUGCCUGGAUAAUUAAAAAAAAAAAAGAAGUCAUAAAGACAGGUUCUUAUUAUAUUGACCAGGUUGGUCUUGAACUCUUGACCUCAAGUGAUCCUCCUGCCUUGGCCUCCUAAAGUGUUGUGAUUACAGGUGUGAGCCACAGCAUCCAGCCUAAGGAAGAUCCCUUGAGCCUAGGAAUUUGAGGCUGCAGUGAGCUAUGAUUGCAUCACUGUACUCCAGCUUGGGCAAAAGUGAGACCAUGUCUCUAAAAAAUAAUAAUAAAAUAAAAUAAAGUAUUUACAAUGGAAGGAAUCUGUGGUGUUACUUUUAGGUAAUCUCAGAAGAACUUUUCAAACUCAGAUGUAUAUAUGCGGCAACCAAUGUGCAUAUGGAGAUACUGACAUAGAGAGAAAAAUGUUCAAUCUAUCAUAAUGUACUAUCUUGUUUCGUC
rnacentral:lncRNA from 1 species